rnacentral:rRNA from 1 species
CGGAUGUUAGCGGCGGACGGGUGAGUAACACGUGGGUAACCUGCCUGUAAGACUGGGAUAACUCCGGGAAACCGGAGCUAAUACCGGAUAGUUCCUUGAACCGCAUGGUUCAAGGAUGAAAGACGGUUUCGGCUGUCACUUACAGAUGGACCCGCGGCGCAUUAGCUAGUUGGUGGGGUAAUGGCUCACCAAGGCGACGAUGCGUAGCCGACCUGAGAGGGUGAUCGGCCACACUGGGACUGAGACACGGCCCAGACUCCUACGGGAGGCAGCAGUAGGGAAUCUUCCGCAAUGGACGAAAGUCUGACGGAGCAACGCCGCGUGAGUGAUGAAGGUUUUCGGAUCGUAAAGCUCUGUUGUUAGGGAAGAACAAGUGCGAGAGUAACUGCUCGCACCUUGACGGUACCUAACCAGAAAGCCACGGCUAACUACGUGCCAGCAGCCGCGGUAAUACGUAGGUGGCAAGCGUUGUCCGGAAUUAUUGGGCGUAAAGGGCUCGCAGGCGGUUUCUUAAGUCUGAUGUGAAAGCCCCCGGCUCAACCGGGGAGGGUCAUUGGAAACUGGGAAACUUGAGUGCAGAAGAGGAGAGUGGAAUUCCACGUGUAGCGGUGAAAUGCGUAGAGAUGUGGAGGAACACCAGUGGCGAAGGCGACUCUCUGGUCUGUAACUGACGCUGAGGAGCGAAAGCGUGGGGAGCGAACAGGAUUAGAUACCCUGGUAGUCCACGCCGUAAACGAUGAGU